rnacentral:lncRNA from 1 species
GUCCAAGUAAUAUCUCCAGCCCACAAAAGACAGCAGCACUCACAAUGACCUGUAGCACAUCAGAUACUGGAGAACUCCAAAAACCACCGGAAAAUAUCAUGGAAUUUCCAGAAACAAUCUCCAUCCAACCAUCAAGUGUAAUCUCCUCGCAAAUGCCUGCAAGCCACUUGCCAGAACAACUCUCAGUCGAUUGCGUAGCGCAUUCUAUUGAGUCUUCAACACCGCAGCUUUUAGAACUGACAAAUAUGAAACCAGCAGAGGUAUCAAGCAUCCAGCCUCUAAUGGUAUCAACAGUGGCAGUGACAGGGUCCAGUGCACAGCCGGUAGAAUUAUCAAGGAUAUCGCCUUUGCAGGUGUCAAGCCUGCAACCGGUGCAGGUGACAAAUUCACAGCGAGUGGGGCCAAGUAUCAUUGUCCUAGCAGAGGCUGCAAAUCUGGUUGAGUCGCAACAGCUAGUGAUGCAGACAGCCGAUGGGUAUUACUCGUUCAUACCAACUAGUACAGAAUUAUACCCUACGUCUGCGCUGUUCGGCUCCGAGUUAAGGAUCUCUGGCGAAAAUAUCGAUCAGAGUCUUGCUCUUGCUCAAGAGAGCUCAACGGUAUCUUCGGAAAUCAUAUCAAAUAAACAUCAUGGAAGGCUGAUACAUCCCAGUGGGAUCCCAACUCAAAAUGAAUUUGUCAACAUUGCACCAAAGCCGGGGUCAACUAGCUCUACUAAUUUUUGACUGAGAUGCUGACUACUAAUCCAAACUCAGUAAAGCCAGUUCAAAAGAAGAGAUCAAGACCUCCCAAGGAACCGCGCCGGAAUGCCAAGAAAAGAAAGAGGCAACUGUAAAACCUAAAAAACCACUUGUAGUCGAGGUCCGCGUCCUUGAUGCAGCAAAAGAUCCUCGUUCGGAGACAAGCUCUGACUGCAGUAAAAAUGUCACAGCUGCUGAAUCAUACAGACAACUUGUAGAAGCAAUGUCAUUUGUGGGCGAUGAAAGAAGUGCAACACCUAGAAAAACACCUGUUAAAAGUACAAACUUAAUUUCAAUAGAUACUUCAAUAACUCCUUCUGAACCAGAUUCAGACCAAGGCCAGACUAAACCUAAGGAAGAUUCAGGUAUUCCUGUUGAAAUUGCAUCAAAGCAAGAAACUACAUCUAUGUCUGUUUCGAACCUACCCAAAAUCGAAACUGCAGAAGACACCACAUCGACUGAGUCUGCACCCAACUGUGGCGUCGUACCCAUUGAAAAUCGAGCUGAAGAAGAAUCUCCGCUGAAAAGUACUGACAGUGUAUCAGCAGUUACCGAGACCAAUAAUCAACAAGAUACCACAAAUCUUGGUACGAUUCCAACUCAUAAAGAAUUGAUCAACAUUGCCCCCGAGUCAACGUCAACGAACUUCAGUAAUUCUUUGACUGGUACGCAGACUACUCCUAUGCCUGCAGUAUUGCAAGAACUGAUGAAGAAAACAAGAUCCGCUCUCAAAGAACCACCACAGAAAGCAAAGAAAAAGAAAGAGGUAGCCGCAGAAUUCCAAGAACCAGUUUCAGUCGAAGUUUGCAGCCUUGAUGCUGCAAAAGAUCCUUGUUUAGAGAUGAGCUCAGUCAACAAUGACCCAGUCACAACUGCUGAAUCAUACAGACAUUCUGUUGAAGCUAUGUCAUCUGUGGAUGAUGAAAGAACCACAAGUCUUAGCAAAGUACCUGUGCAAAGUAUAAAUUCAGCUUUAAAUGAUACUGCAAUAUCGGCAACUGAACCAAAUUUAUACUUAGACCAGACCAAAGCCAAAGAAGAUUCUGAUAUUCCCGUUGAAAUUACAUCGAAUAUGCCUGAAAUGGACUUUGUAGAAGACACCACAACAAUUGAGUCUGUGUCCAACUGUGGACCUAAACCCAUACUCACGUCUGCAUCAAACCUACCUGAAAUGCUAACUGCAGAAGACACCACAAAAAUUGACUCUGCACCCAAUUGUGCAGUCGUGGCCAUUGAAAAUCGAACUGAAGACUCUCCUCCAAAAAUGACUGACACUGAUGUACUUGAUGAAAUCAACCCAAAGACUGAAUCACAGAUUGAAUUUGCUGCAAUCUCUCCCUUGCGAGUCGCUAACAACCAUCGACAGAGUUUAAGCACUCCACGACGAAAGACAAAUCAUGUACGCGUUUUAGACUUUGGCACCCCUCCUAAUUUCAAAGACUCCUUUCAGCGAAAAGCUAACACAUCACCAAAAGCACUAAAAUCGAGUGAGCCACCCAGUGAACGCCUCAAAAGUAUUCGGCGUGCGGAGCUCUUUCAAUCACCGGAAACAUCAUGGUAUUUGGCCACCACUCCUGAUAAAGGAAACCACGAUAUUGUAAAGCUAAACACAAACACGCCGCCUCCUGUCAGAUCAAUUAUGUCUCCACCAAGCUGUAUCAAAGAAGCAUCACCUCUCAGUUGUCAAGAGUCACUUCCUCCACCUGAAAAGUCAAAGUUUACAAUUGCGACGAGGUCUCCUCAGCCCAGACUCAGUGGUGGUUGGGACAAAAUUAACGGACUGGGACUCAUUGUAAAUUCCCCGAAGUCAAUCUCCUCUAAGAGCUGUGAUGAAGAUACUAAUUCACUUAGCUGCUCAAAAUCGCUGGUCAACACUGCCGAAUCAACACCAUUGAAGGAGUCCUGGGAUUCCAAACUCCGGGCCAUGCUCCGAGGUGACUACGAAGAACCUAAGCCGCCAAAAAAGCAGACUCAAUCGAAAAGGAGCCCUAAAAAAUCUAAUUCUAAAACCAGCACAAUGUCAAAAGCCAACGUAAGCCCAAAGAAACACGGCCAGAAGAAAAACAUUGAGAUCUCACCAGUGAAGAUAUCUCCUGAACCCUCAAGCUCUGUCAAUGCGCCAAAUGUCAGCCAAACAAUGAGCAUUCUAGGUGGACUAUCAUCAGCAAAAGAAAGGAAAAUAGAAAAAGAAAGUUUCUCCUGCGAGACCGAUUUGGAAGUCAGUCAAUUGAAACUUUUACAGGAGGCCUCGUCAGAAACAAUUUCAGUAACUGAUCAAAAACUUCUCCAAAAUCCAGUGAUCCAAGUUUGCAAGUCUAUUCAGCCUAGUAGGAUAAGUAAUGAUAAGUUGCUUGACAUAGGUAAAUUUAUCAAAAAGUCCAAAUCUCGUCAAGACCAGGAGAAUACAACGGGUGUAUCACAAGAAAAAUCAGAGGAGACCUGCCAGCUUUCUAAGCAAUUGAAAAGCCAGCCUCAGGAAUCUAAUCCUAAAAUUAGCACAGUACCCAAAGCUGAAUUAAGUCCCAUAAAACGUGGCAGAAAGAAGAAACAUCAAGAUUUCUCCUGUGAAAAUAUCUCCUAGACCUUUCAGCUUUGUCAAUGAGCCCUGUGAUGCAGAUUCAGAAGUUAGACUAUCUACAAUUUCGGUAGAAACCAAGUCAGAAAAAAUUACAGAAGCUAAUACUCAUAUUUCCAGGUCCAUCCAGUCCUCCAGUCAAUCAGUCUUAUCCAAUAGGAUCGAUAUGUUGCUUGACGCAAGUAAAUUCAUCAAAAUGUUCAAACCAGACCAAGACCAGAAGAAGGCAAUCUCAGUAACACAGAAAAAAUCAAAAGAAGGCUGUCAGUCUGCGGAGCUAAAAAAGCAGACCAAAUCAAGAAUGAGUUCUGAAAAAUCUAACCUUAAAACCAGCACAAUGCCAAAAGCCAUAUCAAGCCCCAAGACACGCAGCCAAAAGAAAAACAUCCAGAACUCUGCUUUAAAGACAUCUCCAGCACCCUCUAACUCCGUCAAUAAACCAAAUGCCAGGACAAAGGGCUUUUCAUCUCCAGAACGCUCUCCUCUCAAACCACUGACUGCAAGAAAAAGGAAAGUCAAAGGUGAAAAACUCUCCUGUGAAGCAGAUUCAGAAGUCUUUCAAUCAAAAAUUCCGCGAAAGGGUAAGCCGGAUCAAAUUUCAGAAAGAGAUUCCCAACUAUUCACGUCUGUUCUACCCAAUAGCACUGAUGAGGAUUUGUCGCUUGAUGCAGGUAAAUUUAUUGAAAAGUCCAAAUCAUAUCAAGACCAGGAGAAUACAAUUGGUGCAUCACAAGAAAAAAUAAAAGAGACCUCUCAGUUUUCACCGCCAAAAUAGAGACAAAAUCAAAAAGUAACUCUAUAAAAUCUGAUCUUAAAAGCAGCACAAUACAAAAAGUGAAACUAAGCACUAAAAAAGAUAGCAAGAAGAAAAACAUAACGAUCUCUCCAGUUAAGUUAUCUCCUGCACCUUCUUGCUCCAUCAAUG